ensembl:lncRNA uncharacterized LOC103104074
GGCUAAUGGUGAGUCCAGUGGCAUAUAUGGCUGUGGACCCUUCCUCUUGGACCAAAGUAAUGGAGGCUCUGUGGGCUGCAUUGAGGACUUAGAGCAUCCAGAACAAGGGAGGCAAGGGUCUAGCUCUACUUUGCCAUGUUUAGGUCACAUCUUGGGUACCGGUCUAUUGUGGGCAACUGACAUAAUGGAAAUAAAACGAAGACCAAUGGGUGGGAGCUGUGAAGAAGACAUUUUAGGAUCCAUGUAAAGGAAAAACGUUGAAACCAUUAGAGCCAUCCCCAAGUGGACCAGGCUGUCUUGUGAGGCAGGAUUGGGCUACCCUCAUGAGGAGUCUUCAGUGGAAGUCAGAUGGUUAUCUUCCAGGGAGAUUGUUCCUGUUUAGGGUCAGUGAAUGUUUUCUGGAAGCUGCUUCGGGCCAGGAGGAUGAACACCCGAGGGAGGUUCCAGGGACAAUUUACCAUGGGAUGAGCCAGAACUGGAAGAUAGACCUGUCAGACCUGAAGGUAGAGCACUGGAACACUGGAAUGAAGCUAGAGACUAAAUAAAAUAAUAUUUAUGAAAUCACCUGGGAAACUGCAAACUGUUGUAUGCUUAUAGGGACAGCUAGAUGGCACAGGGCUGGAGUCAGGAAGACUUGAGUUCAAAUCCAGUUUCUGACAUAUACUAGUUAUGUGACUCUGGGCAAGUCCCUGAACCCUGCUUCCCUCAGUUUCCUCAUCUGUCAAAUGAUUAGGAGAAGAAAAUGGCAAACUGGUCCAGUAUCUUUAUCAAGAAAACCCCAAAUGGGAUCACAAAGACAACAAGAAGGUAUCAAGAAUAGAUUCACUUGAUCCUUAGAGCAUCAUCAAGGGGUAGCUUGGGAAAUGGGUGGUAAAGGCACUUGCUGCUGGAUCAAAUCUCUUGUUAUUGACCUUAAUUCCUUCUUAAGAAUAUGAUUUUUGCUUCACUCUGUUGAUUUAUGUUUUAU